rnacentral:rRNA from 1 species
UACGAAGGGGGGCUAGCGUUGCUCGGAAUCACUGGGCGUAAAGCGCACGUAGGCGGCUUUGUAAGUUAGAGGUGAAAGCCCAGGGCUCAACCCUGGAAUUGCCUUUAAGACUGCAUCGCUUGAAUUGUGGAGAGGUAAGUGGAAUUCCGAGUGUAGAGGUGAAAUUCGUAGAUAUUCGGAAGAACACCAGUGGCGAAGGCGACUUACUGGACACAUAUUGACGCUGAGGUGCGAAAAGCGUGGGGAGCAAACAGG